rnacentral:rRNA from 1 species
UCGCCUCUUGCAACAAUCAAGUAUAAGAGGUCCCGCCUGCCCAGUGACUAAUUUCAACGGCCGCGGUAUCAUGACCGUGCAAAGGUAGCGUAAUCACUUGUCUUUUAAAUAAAGACCUGUAUGAAAGGCAAAACGAAAGUUCAACUGUCUCUUUAAUCCAAUCAAUAAAAUUUAUCUUUCCGUGCAGAAGCGGAAAUAGAUAUAUAAGACGAGAAGACCCUAUGGAGCUUUAAACACACUAUUAACUAUCACAAUAUUUUUAACCAACAGGCAAAAAAUCAUAAACCACAUAGUCAUAAUAUAAGUUUUAGGUUGGGGCGACCGCGGAAGAAAAAAAAUCCUCCGAGAUAAACAAUUUAGAAUAACACUUCGAAAAUUAAAACAUUUAUUAUAAAUGAUCCACUAAGUGACCAACGAACCAAGUACCCUAGGAU